rnacentral:piRNA from 1 species
UGGAUGAAGGGCCACAAACCCACAUU